CCUUCCACGCACGCCGCCCCGCCCGCCUCUGCCUCCGCAGCAGCAGCAGCAGCAGCAGCAUCCGCGUCGGCAGCGGAAUCACGGAGGCGCUGGGUGUCGAGUCCGAGGCCGGCGUGCGUAGGGGCUAGGCUGGCAACCCGAGCGGCGCAGUGCCCCCCACUGUCAGCAGCUACCUACUGUAAGUCAACUGCUAACCUCCUUCCCUUCGGCGGGAGGGUGAGUGGACUCCAACCAGUUGUGCUGCACCGAGCUGCCCCGGUACUAGGAAGAUGGUCGUGUCGCUGUGGUACGUGUGGCCUCUCCUCUUCUGCAGCCCCUGCCUGCUCAUAGAGAUUCCUGACGAAUUGAUGGAGCCACCUGUCAUCACAGAACAGUCUCCACGGCGCCUGGUUGUCUUCCCAACAGAUGACAUAAGCCUCAAAUGUGAGGCCAGAGGCAGACCUCAAGUGGAGUUCCGCUGGACGAAAGAUGGCAUCCAUUUCAAACCCAAGGAAGAAGUGGGUGUGGUGGUGCAUGAGGCACCUUAUUCUGGAUCCUUCACCAUCGAAGGCAACAACAGCUUUGCCCAGAGGUUUCAGGGCAUCUAUCGCUGCUAUGCCAGCAAUAAGCUAGGAACUGCCAUGUCCCACGAGAUCCAGCUUGUGGCUGAGGGUGCCCCCAAGUGGCCGAAGGAGACUGUAAAGCCUGUGGAAGUGGAGGAAGGGGAGUCAGUAGUUCUGCCUUGCAACCCUCCACCCAGUGCAGCCCCACUCAGGAUCUACUGGAUGAACAGCAAGAUUUUACACAUCAAACAAGAUGAGCGGGUGUCCAUGGGCCAGAACGGAGACCUGUAUUUUGCCAAUGUGCUGACCUCAGACAAUCUCUCGGACUAUAUCUGCAAUGCCCACUUCCCUGGGACCCGGACCAUCAUUCAGAAGGAACCUAUUGACCUUCGGGUCAAGCCCACUAACAGCAUGAUUGACCGGAAGCCACGCCUGCUGUUCCCUACAAACUCCAGCAGCCACCUGGUGGCCUUGCAGGGGCAGUCAUUGAUCCUGGAAUGUAUUGCUGAGGGAUACCCUACACCCACCAUCAAGUGGCUGCACCCCAGUGACCCUAUGCCGACACACCGUGUUAUCUACCAAAACCACAAUAAGACCCUACAGCUACUCAAUGUGGGUGAGGAGGAUGAUGGAGAGUAUACCUGCCUUGCUGAAAACUCACUGGGCAGUGCACGGCAUGCCUACUAUGUCACUGUGGAAGCUGCCCCAUACUGGCUGCAGAAGCCCCAGAGCCAUUUGUAUGGACCAGGAGAGACUGCUCGCCUAGACUGCCAAGUCCAGGGCAGGCCCCAGCCAGAGAUCACCUGGAGCAUCAAUGGAAUGUCUAUGGAGAAGGUGAACAAGGACCAGAAGUACCGGAUUGAGCAGGGGUCUCUGAUCCUGAGUAACGUGCAACCAAGUGACACAAUGGUGACCCAGUGUGAGGCCCGCAACCAACAUGGGCUCCUGCUAGCCAAUGCCUACAUCUAUGUUGUCCAACUGCCAGCCAGGAUCCUAACAAAAGACAAUCAGACGUACAUGGCAGUUGAGGGCAGCACUGCUUACUUGCUGUGCAAGGCCUUUGGAGCUCCCGUUCCCAGUGUCCAGUGGGUGGAUGAGGAAGGAACCACGGUGCUUCAGGAUGAACGGUUUUUCCCUUAUGCCAAUGGGACCCUGGGUAUCAGAGACCUCCAGGCCAAUGAUACUGGACGCUAUUUCUGCCAGGCUGCGAAUGACCAGAAUAAUGUGACCAUUUUGGCUAACCUGCAGGUUAAAGAAGCAACCCAGAUCAUACAGGGGCCCAGGAGUGCAAUUGAGAAGAAAGGUGCAACGGUGACGUUCAUAUGCCAGGCCUCCUUUGACCCCUCUUUGCAGGCCAGCAUCACUUGGCGUGGAGAUGGCCGAGACCUCCAGGAACGCGGGGACAGUGACAAGUAUUUCAUAGAAGAUGGGAAGCUGAUCAUCCAGAGCCUGGACUACAGUGACCAGGGCAACUACAGCUGUGUAGCCAGCACUGAAUUGGAUGAGGUCGAGAGCAGGGCACAGCUCUUAGUGGUGGGGAGCCCUGGGCCAGUGCCCCACCUGGAACUGUUUGACCGCCACCUGCUGAAGCAGAGCCAGGUGCACUUAUCUUGGAGCCCUGCUGAAGACCACAACUCUCCCAUCGAGAAGUAUGACAUUGAAUUUCAGGACAAGGAAAUGGCUCCCGAGAAAUGGUACAGUCUGGGCAAGGUGCCAGGAAAUCAGACCUCUACCACCCUCAAACUGUCCCCCUAUGUCCACUACACCUUUCGGGUCACUGCCAUCAACAAAUAUGGCCCCGGGGAGCCCAGCCCUGUCUCUGAGACUGUGGUCACACCUGAAGCAGCCCCAGAGAAGAACCCUGUGGAUGUGAAAGGGGAAGGGAAUGAGACCAACAAUAUGGUCAUCACAUGGAAGCCCCUCCGGUGGAUGGAUUGGAAUGCUCCCCAGAUUCAGUACCGUGUGCAGUGGCGCCCACAGGGCAAGCAGGAGACCUGGAAGGAACAGACCGUGAGCGACCCCUUCCUGGUGGUGUCUAACACUUCCACCUUUGUGCCUUAUGAGAUCAAAGUCCAGGCAGUGAACAACCAGGGCAAGGGCCCUGAGCCCCAGGUCACCAUUGGCUACUCAGGGGAAGACUACCCCCAGGUGAGCCCUGAGCUGGAAGACAUCACAAUCUUCAACUCAAGCACUGUGCUGGUCAGAUGGAGGCCCGUGGACUUGGCCCAGGUUAAGGGCCACCUCAGGGGCUACAAUGUGACAUACUGGUGGAAAGGCAGUCAGAGAAAGCACAGCAAGAGGCAUGUCCACAAAAGCCACAUGGUGGUACCUGCCAACACCACCAGUGCCAUCCUCAGUGACUUGCGUCCUUACAGCUCCUAUCACGUGGAGGUACAGGCCUUUAAUGGGCGAGGCUUGGGACCUGCAAGUGAAUGGACCUUCAGCACCCCAGAGGGAGUGCCUGGUCACCCUGAGGCAUUACACCUGGAGUGCCAGUCGGACACGAGCCUGCUACUGCACUGGCAGCCACCACUCAGCCACAACGGAGUGCUCACCGGCUACCUUCUCUCUUAUCACCCCUUGGAUGGGGAAAGCAAGGAACAGUUGUUCUUCAACCUUUCGGACCCAGAGCUCCGAACUCAUAAUCUCACCAACCUCAACCCCGAUCUGCAGUACCGCUUCCAGCUACAAGCUACCACCCAGAAGGGCCCUGGUGAGGCCAUCGUGCGUGAAGGAGGCACCAUGGCCCUGUUUGGCAAGCCAGAUUUUGGCAAUAUCUCAGUCACAGCAGGGGAAAACUACAGCGUGGUCUCCUGGGUCCCUCGGGAGGGCCAGUGCAACUUCAGGUUCCACAUCUGGUUCAAAGCUUUGCCAGAAGGGAAAGUGAGCCCUGACCGCCAACCUCAGCCUCAGUAUGUAAGCUACAAUCAGAGCUCCUACACACAGUGGGACCUACAGCCUGACACCAAGUAUGAGAUCCGCCUGAUGAAGGAAAAGGUGGUCCUGCACUAUCUGGCUGUGAAGACAAAUGGCACUGGCCCCGUGCGAGUUUCUACUACAGGUAGCUUCGCCUCUGAGGGCUGGUUCAUCGCCUUUGUCAGCGCUAUCAUUCUCUUGCUCCUCAUCCUGCUCAUUCUCUGCUUCAUCAAGCGCAGCAAGGGUGGCAAGUACUCAGUGAAAGACAAGGAGGACACUCAGGUGGAUUCUGAGGCGCGGCCCAUGAAAGACGAGACCUUUGGCGAAUACAGGUGAGCAGGGGAAGGAACAGGGGUUUUGACCGGGCUCUGCCUGACCUCUUCUUACCCAGCUCCUCUCUCUUUUCUCUGCUUCGGGGUGACUUCAGGUCCCUGGAGAGUGACAAUGAAGAGAAGGCCUUCGGCAGCAGCCAGCCAUCUCUUAAUGGAGACAUCAAACCCCUAGGCAGUGAUGACAGCCUGGCCGAUUAUGGGGGCAGUGUGGACGUCCAGUUCAAUGAGGAUGGCUCUUUCAUCGGCCAGUACAGUGGCAAAAAAGAGAAGGAGGCAGCAGGAGGCAAUGACAGCUCAGGGGCUACCUCUCCUAUCAACCCUGUAGUAGCCCUAGAAUAGUAAGGGUUAGCAAGGUGAGGCAGGCCAAGCUGGGCCAAGGGCCAGAGGUGCAGGAGAGCCGAGGGGCCAAGGCACCUGGCCUAUGCACCAUGACACUUACCUGCUGACCUUGGGAUUGAGGCCCCUUCCUCUUUCCAUAGCCCAUGGAAGACUUGACUGGAGCAGUGGAGAGGAACUGUGGCUUCAAGUCACCUUUUUAAGCACCCGCUACCCUUUUAUUGCCAAAACCCAGCUGCACCCUUUCCUGGGCAUACGCUGCUUUGCCCCAGCUUGGGGCAGUUCACUCCCAUAUCAGGGAUCUUCAGGUGCUGCCUUGCCGACCCAUUUAGGCAGGGAGGCCACAGUUUGGGGGAGAUGACAAAGGAGUGUCCUCUGAAGCAUCUCUGAGAUGCUGUCUUCUCACUCUCUAACUGGAGACAGGCAUGAUGGGGUCUCCUCAGGACUAGAUUGGCACCUCUUUUUUCUCCAGCUACUCCCUGGCUAGCCUGACUGGGGACAGAACUCUGUCUCCACCAUCUGCUCCCCUUUCUUUGCCAUUUUUGCUCCAAUCAGGAUAGGGAACUGGGCAAGUUGGCCACCUGCAUAAAAGAGGCCAUCUGGAAAGCCCAGAGUCCCUCCCUCACCUUUGUACACUGGGUUCACACCCUCCUCCCUUUGCUGUUCCACUUUUCAGGACAUACAUAAACACACACACACACACACACGCACUUACAUUGACUUCGGUACCCACCAGACAACAUCAAAGUGGCCUCUGUCACUGCCAGAGAUAGGCACACCUCUUCCUACUGGCACUGGCUGGGCUUCUCCCUGCCACAGCCAUUCCCCAGGACCCUUUUGCAACCCUGCCUGCCCCCAGUUCUUGUCCUCAGUCCCUUCCCCUGUCCCCCACGUUAGGAAUGUAAAUACACCAUAACUUUGAAAGUUUGCCCUUGCCCUUUGCCCAUAUGCCACUAGUGUGUAAGCAGAUGUCUGAGUCUCUAGGUGGUUUCUCUGUUUUAUAGCAGUUAGCUUUGAUGGUCCCACACCAAGAAAAAGAAAAGCAGACAAAAAGGGGAAGAAAGCAAAGAUUGGUUCUCUCAGUGCAGCUGUGGCUUCCCUGUGUGCUUUUGCUUGGUCUGUUGAUGAGCCCGCUACAAAAAAACAAAAGUAUAUAUAUAUAUGUACAUAAUAUCAGAAUUAUAACAGGCAAAUAAAAACCUGGA